UAUGAUGUUGUAUCCGCUAUCACCUGCUCUAUGCCCAGCCAUGAAUCCUGUGCCUUUCUGUGUCUUUAAACUGAGCCUGAGAGGGGGGAGAGAGAGAAACUGAGCAAACUUUUCAAAACGGUUUUUCUAGGACACAGAUAAG